rnacentral:rRNA from 1 species
UACGUAGGGUGCGAGCGUUAAUCGGAAUUACUGGGCGUAAAGCGUGCGUAGACGGUUAUGUAAGUCAGAUGUGAAAGCCCAGGGCUCAACCUUGGAAUUGCAUUUGAGACUGCAUAGCUAGGGUGCGGAAGAGGGAAGCGGAAUUUCCGGUGUAGCGGUGAAAUGCGUAGAUAUCGGAAGGAACACCAGUGGCGAAAGCGGCUUCCUGGUCCAGCACCGACGUUCAGGCACGAAAGCGUGGGGAGCAAACAGG